rnacentral:lncRNA from 1 species
CAGAUUUGUGAAGAACCAAGAUUUUCAUUUGAAAGUAAAGAAAGAAUGGGGCCUAUCAAGGCUGAGUCUGUGUGACACUAGGAAGAUAAUACUGUUAUAAGGAGAUAGGGAGGAUAGCUCAGGAGGAAGGACUGGGCAAAGUGAAGGCAGCUGAGGUGGCCGUGAGAAUGCAGGACUGUGAAAGGCAGCAAUAGAGAGAGGACAUUCUAUUCACUUUGAUAUUGUGUGAUCACGACUAGAUCACCACUUGCUAUGCAGUGCCGUGUACCAUCUCAGCCCCCGAUGAGUGUCUCUGGACAGACUGGCUGCUGGAACGGAAGCUCUAUGGGUACCAGGCCCAGCACUAUGUCUGCAUGAAGCAUGUUGAUGGCAUCUGCAGCUGGUACCGAGGACACCUACACCUCCGGAAGGAGUACGUUGACAUCGUCCAGCCCUAGAAGGGACCGGCAACCAUAUCCUUGGAAGAGUUCUGAAGACCAAGCCAGUUCUCUGUGGUACUCUGAUCACCACCACUUGCCAUGUUGCUGCCAGAUAAUGAGAAGUGACAAGUGGAUGGCCUGGCCAGUAAAUUGGAGGCUGUGGGGCAUGUGGCAGCCUGGGUCUGCUGUUCACAUCUCCAGCUCACAACCUGUCAAGGGUUGGGAAGGAAGUAUCUUAUCUGCCUUGCCCUCAGCCCCUCUCCCCUGUCUCCCAAACCUUGUUAGUCUAGCUUAUACCCAUUACUCAGUUUUUAUUCUG